rnacentral:rRNA from 1 species
CCUACGGGCGGCAGCAGUGGGGAAUAUUGCACAAUGGGGGAAACUCUGAUGCAGCGACGCCGCGUGAGUGAAGAAGUAUUUCGGUAUGUAAAGCUCUAUCAGCAGGGAAGACAUAAAGUCCUUCGGACCCUGGACGGUACCUGACUAAGAAGCCCCGGCGAACUACGUGCCAGCAGCCGCGGGAAUACGUAGGGGGGAAGCGUUAUCCGGAUUUACUGGGUGUAAAGGGAGCGAAGACGGCAGCGCAAGUCUGGAGUGAACUCCCAUGGCUUAACCAUGGAACUGCUUCGGAAACUGUGCAGCUGGAGUGCAGGAGAGGUAAGCGGAAUUCCUAGUGUAGCGGUGAAAUGCGUAGAUAUUAGGAGGAACACCAGUGGCGAAGGCGGCUUACUGGACUGUAACUGAUGUUGAGGCACGAAAGCGUGGGGAGCAAACAGGAUUAGAUACCCGAGUAGUC